rnacentral:tRNA from 2 species
UCUAGUAUGGCAGAAUAGUGCAAUGAAUUUAAGAUUCAUAUAUGGGUUAAUCAUCCUACUAGAA